ACGGAGGGUGCAAGCGUUAAUCGGAAUUACUGGGCGUAAAGCGCGCGUAGGUGGUUUGCUAAGCGAGAUGUGAAAGCCCCGGGCUCAACCUGGGAACUGCAUUUCGAACUGGUAGGCUAGAGUAUGGUAGAGGUAAGUGGAAUUUCCUGUGUAGCGGUGAAAUGCGUAGAUAUAGGAAGGAACACCAGUGGCGAAGGCGACUUACUGGACCAAUACUGACACUGAGGUGCGAAAGCGUGGGGAGCAAACAGG
rnacentral:rRNA from 1 species